rnacentral:lncRNA from 1 species
GAUUCACUCUUCCUGUUUACUUUUGGAAUACUCUCCAAAUCCAUAAGCAAAAGAGUUGAAUAGAAGAAGGAGAGAGGAAGAAAAAGAAUAAAAGAAAAAAGAAGACAGGAGAGAGGAAGAAGAAGGAAAAUGAUUAAUGUCCUGUUAUCCCCACCUGCAAACCUGGCUGGAGUUGAUAACAAAACCUUUACUGCUGUUCUCUGGUAGCCUUUUCUAUGUGCCAUAGGGAUGUGGUUUCUGAAGGAAAUGAGUUCUAGGUUUUUCUCACAAAUAUCCAAAAGUAGAACAGUGGGGAUCUUGACUACUAAUCACCCCACAUAACAACAGGACCACAGUGGUGGAAUGUGGCUAAUGGGACUAGAAUCUUCUGCUUACUCAUUCGCUUUGGGAAUUAAAUUGUUCUUAGACUUGGUAUGCUGGUGGACUAAAUGUUUUAAUAAAAACAGCCACGAGACACCAGUUUUCUUUGCAAAGGCUUUUCCUUCUAACCACUCUGAAUAUAUUGCUGAGAGGUUCCUGCUUCUGGAAGACCAUCUGUGAGGCGCUUAGACUUACCUGAAAUUUCAGGGCACUAUGUCAGCCAGUUCCUUCACAGUGGUGUGUCUGGCGCCUGAACAAGGACUUGGUGGGCCAGACACAUUUAAAAUGUAAAAGGAGAUUAUAAUAUUAUUUUGCAUUGCAACAGUUAGAGUAUUUCUGGCUAGUUGCUGACAAGUCGAUCAUAAUAACCAUGCGUGGUGCAACAAACCACACGGCACUGUAUCAGAAGCUUAGAGUUACUAUCUUCAAAUGACCCAGAGAUUUUUUUGAAAAAGAGAAAUGGUGGAUGCUUUUUUCCCCCAUUCAGUAAGCAUAUAUUGAAUGCCUAUUGUCAGUGAUGGCCUCUUUAUUCACAGAAGGGAGCUGGGCUAUGCCAGACUCUCACCAUGUUCUUUCCUCUUUAACACUGAACAAAAUAUCAGUAAAACACCAAGUACUACAGCUUUUUUUGAACCUGAUAGGCAAUCAGUAUGUAGUAACUGGCCAUGCUGAUGAGAGUAGGAACUGGUGAUACUGAUAGCAAUGGGAAUGCAUUCCUCACAAAGGCACAGCAGUUUAAGAACAUUUCAGGGACAAUUCGGGGCGGGGGCGGUAAAUGAGCAGAUCUGGUCUGACCUAUUUACAUGUUCCAACAAAUGUCUAGAACUCUAGAUACCUUGAAAAAUCUGAGAACAUGAUCAUGCCAUUUUUAUGGGGAUGACAGAAUUCUUACGGAAAAGACUUGUAUAUGUUUAUCUAGUGAGCUUCUCUAUUUGUAGAAUACUCAGAAUACCUCUGAGAACCCAUCUUAAUUUUUAGAAUCAUUUAUAAGAAUCUGACAACUUAUUAUUAUAAAAUAAACUUCAAAGCAAUUACUUGAGAAGCUUGUUGACAAUCAAGAUACACAAAGUCCUGUCAGUGGGAUAAGGCAAAGUUAGAGUUCUCUAAAAUGGUUACAGAGAAGUGGGAAAAUGACAGAGUGGUUUGGCUGGAAGGCAUCUGACUAUAAAUCAGAAGAUCUAGGCCCCCAGCCAUAUGUGGCAACUGUUGCAUGAUCUUACAAGUCAUCAAACCUCUCCUGAGUCUCACUUUUCUCAUGUGUAAAAUGGGAGUGUUGGAUUAGGUGGUCUUUAAGAGUCUCUCUAGUUAUAACAUUUGAUGAUUUUAAAGUAAGAAAAGACCACAGAAUAAUUCCCUCUAAUUUGGUAAACACGUUGCUUUCUCCUGAGCUGUGUCUAUGUGGUUUGCAUUGGGUUUUAUGUUUCUGGGCUCUAGAAGUCACAUAGUAAAUAUUCGAGUCAUUCUUCCUUCUAUACAUGGGAAAAUUAGAAGAGAAUAAUUCUUCCUUUCUUUCUAUGUCAAUCUCUGUUUUCCAAUCAGACUUACAAGCUUAAGAUAAGGACACAAUCAUUCUGUUACUGACGAAGGCUCUUCCUCAUCUUUGUCACAGGCCCUUACUCAUGCUCAUGCAAGCUUAUCUGAUUGGGUUAUUUCUGUAUUUAUGUCCUGGCUAUUUUUUCUCUUUCAACUUGUUUAUGAAAUCCCUGGUAAGCAUAAAGCCGCAAAAACAAAAACAAAUAAAACAAAACAGCUCUGUUUGAAUAAUUUUCUUCAGUAAAGGCAGUAUAAGAAAACAUUCUAACACUCAGGGAAAAAAAAUCUUUUAAAAAUACUCCUAUAUCUUAGAAAAGAUGAAAUAAAAUGUUAUAUCAAUGAUAGUUUCAUACGUUGUUACUGCUUUUCAUUUUCCAAGAGAAUGUUACAUAUUGAGUUUAUAGUCUGGUGUGCAGAUGUGGAUAUUUCUCCCAAUAUUUCUCAGGCCACUGCAUCCUUGAAGCCAAGAAGGCCCAGAGCUUGCUGAGGUAGCUUUACACGGACAAAGGAACUACACAAAAAACCCAAUACCUGGAGCUUAUAUCGUAUACUGACUAGGCACUCCCGUCACUCAUGACUCACUCUUUCCCAUCUCUGUCCUGUUCCUCUACUGAUUUCAUUCUCUUCACCUAGAAUGCCCUCCGUUUGCCUCCCUUUACGGCUCAAAAUGUCCCCUAUCUUUCAAGACCCACCUAGCUCAAGCCCCAUCUCCAAGAAGCAACUUAAGUUGACCCAUCUUAGGACCCAGUGAUAAUUUUCAUGGCUAGAAAGCGUUCAUUAGCCCUUGUGAUAACUGGAGUCACUUACAACACAUAUCUAGCACGUGCUCAGAGAACACUGGGGAAAAAGAUUGUGAAGAGUGGCAGGGUCCUUGUAAAACGGAAAAAAAAAAAACGCUAGCUUUAAGAAUAGGCCCAAUAUAGUAGCUGCGGUACAUGAGAGAAAAGUUGUAGCUUUGUAAAGAAAAGUUGUAGCCUUGUACAGAGGGAUUAUUUUAGAAUGGCCUGACUUUGCGCUUUUUUUUUUAACAAAGGAAAAGAGAUAUAAUAUCUUAAAAGAAGGAGUUAAGACAUUGAAUAUGGCAACAUACAGUCUUCUAAAGUUCAAAAAUAUUAAUUAUGAAGCUAAAAUGUCAAGAUUUUACUAGGAACACUACGGAGCACAGCUGAAACAGGCAAAGACAGAGGUAUGGGCAUAGAAUCUGAAUUUCACCUACCCUGAGUCCCCCUCAGUCUGAUGGCUCUGCCAUGCAUUGUGAUAAACCCCGACAGUGCUUAGCUGGGCUGAAGCGAUGGCCCGUGGUAUAUUCUGAUAGUGAAAGAUAGAAUGACGCUCAGAAAUGCUGGAUGCUGUUAGAUAUGUAUAUGAUUUUAUUUAUGUGUAUAUUUUUAUAUCUAUAUAUACAAACAUAUAUAUUUGUAUGAUGUUUGGCAACCUCACUCAUGGUAUUCCUGUGAAGGAGGCAUGUGGUAAACAUAAUUAGCCCAUUAAACAGAUGGUAUGGCUCUGGCAUAGCUCACUAUAUUCUAAAAUGGUGGAGCUGUGAGCAGGGGCUGAAGACAGAGUGCAGUCUGAUACACGGUUAACUGCGAAUCUCUGUGAAUUGCUGCUUUCUAAAGACAAUCUGGGUAGGCUACACUUGGCUGAGAAUUGGCGAUGGUUUGGGAAGCUUUAAAAAUAUACAAGGGGACAACGUUCACAUUCAUUCAGAUAUAGUAUCUUCAUUUUUACUUACUAGAGACAUUUUUUGAAAAAUAGCUUUUUAUCUUAACUCAUCUGUGUUCCAAGCAAACUCCCAAAUUGCUGAGCAGAUUAAAAAAAAAAACCCUACAUGCCAAGUAGAAACACUGGGUACAUUUUUUUUAAUUGUCUUAACAAAGUGCACUAUUGGAAAGGAUAAAGUUGAAAGAGGUUUGGUACCACACACAUAAACUCAUAGUCAUUGUAGAGUUCUGCAUGAGGUGCCAUUUUACCUGGCUGGAUUGUGUAUGCUGUGGCAUUGCCACUCCAUGGUACGGCUGGCUUCACCGAACCUGAAAUUAAAUAUUGUAGCCCAAUUCUUUUUUUUUUUUUCGUGAGGAAGAUUAGCUCUGGGCUAACAUCCAUUGCCAAUCUUCCUCUUUUUUUGCUUGAGGGAGAUUAGCCCUCAGCUAACAUUCAUGCCAUCUUCCUCAACUUUGUAUAUGGGAUGCCUCCACAGCAUGGCUGAUGAGUGGAGUAGGUCCACACCGGGGAUCCGAACCCCAGCACUGGGCCUCCGUAGCAGAGCGUACGAAACUUUAACCACUCAGCUCUGGGGCCGGUGCCUCUAGCCCACUUCUUUGUCAGCUGAAACAGGGGCUAGCAGAAGUGAAAGGGUUACUAAAAGUUAAGACUUGAAUUUACAAAUGUAUUUGAACUGGCUUCCAGAAGACAUGAAACAUCAAUACAUCUGGAGAGGAGAACUUGCAAUUGACUGUUCUUUAGCAUCUGGUCUCAAGAACAUUUGCUGCUUGGAAGUUGCAUAAGCAGUGAAAAAACACACAAACAGCUUCCUGUACCAUGCUUUUGGUCACUUAUAAUGACGCAUUACAAAGUAAAACAGCUAAAUGUGAGCAACUGUGCCUUACUCCAGAUGACAACAUACGUUAUAUAACUAAGAUCAAUGACAGAGGACAUCUUUAUUUUAAGAGAUCUAGACUUGAAAAAAUAGUCAAAAAUAAAUAUCCUUCCUUCCAAGGUGUUUGUCUCGAGUAAUUUUGGCUAGAUUUGUUUUUAAUGUCCCUGAAAAACCACUUCUAAUUUUUUCCAAAUUAAAAAAAGAACAACAAAAAAAGCCAUCCUGGGGAAUGAAAUGUUCCAUAUAUAAUUUUUUUAAUGACAUAAACUUGCCACUUUAAGUAAUAAAAUAUGUUUUACACUUUUUUAAUAGAAAACUUUAAUAUAUCCUUGUUUGCUUAAACUGAGCAUGCUGAUAUCAUUUAUAUUUUUUUCUUAUGAAACAGGGUCAUCCUUGUGAACGCUCACUCCUCCUGUUCUUCAAUAAUACAUUUUAUUUUUCUUGAGAAUCAGACUCGUCCCUCAGCUCUCAGUCUAACGGCCACAAGCUGAGCUGCAGCCCACUGGUCACUGCCAUAGCUCAGGGGUGUCACCGUCCCAGUUUUUAAGAGCCAUCUCCUUCCAACCUUAAAUGCUAGGUAUAUUUUCUUGUCUGCUUUGGAUUGGAAAACCAGAAAAAUGAGUGCUGUAAAGACAAGAUUGCUUGGAAGCGAGGUUUAGUCAGAGACUUUGGGACACUCAUUUGCAUGUCUGCAGGUCUUCGUUUCUUUCUUUCUGUUGGAAUUCAGACUCUGAAUUGUCAGAAACCAGACUUCAAAGUAUUAUUGUAUAACACAGAGUGUGACUUUUAUGCUGUUUUAUUGCAGGGGUUCUUAUUUUCAAAGAGGUUGCCCAGAAAGCCAUUCUUGAUUACUUUAUUUGUAGGGCUCUGAUCCAUUCCAUCUCACCUCCUGAUUUCCGCAGGCAACGUAACUAACAUGAUAACUUCGAGAAAUAAUAGCACAUUUUUUAGGAUAAGGUGAGAGAUUCUUGCUAAUUGCCUUCAUCAUAGGGAUGGGAGCAAAAGUAUAUAGUCAAAUUAGAAAAUUUCUCUCUUCGGCCAAUUUUUCUCUAGAUUUUGAACAGGACUCUGGCCUAACUGGACAUUAGGAAAAAAAUUAAAAGUAUUGUGAAGCUAUUUAUAUUAAUUUAAGUGUUCAGAAAAGUAAUAUCCGAGCAUCUUUUCUCCCUUGCCCCAAAAGGAGAAAUCAGUAUAAUUCACAACCUGUGGUAGUCAGGAUAGGGAUUACGUUGCAAUUUACCUUUUCCCUCUCUCUGAAAAUAGGAUUUCUAAGCAAACUAAUAGUGUUAAGAUUUUUGAGGGGAGGGAGCAAGGAGAACCAUGUUUAACCUAUAAGAGGGGGAAAGAAAACUUUUAAAAUAUUUUAAAAUACACAUAUCUGAUAAGCUACUGAUAAUUCUUAUUUAUUUUGAAGCCUCUGCUCAAGAAACUCUUACUUAUUAACACUUGGAAAUCUCAGUUCAAACUACAUACAAAUAUUCUAUGAUUCAUACUUUCAGCUAAUUCAGUUUGGUUGUCUCUUUCCCAGUUCGUCUGAACUGGUGAAAUUUUACAAAAUAAGCAUGGGUAGCUUCCUAGAGUUACAUUUUUACUUGUUUAUUUGUUAAUUUUUGUAACAUGUUUAUGUGACAAAAAAAAGUAAGUGCUAGGUCUACUUGUUAUAGAUUAUUUUUGGACAAAGAGAGUUUGCAAGAAACUGUCGGUUUUACAGCAGCCAAGUUACUGGGGACUAAAGCAGAAGUUCAGGAAUAGACUGGUCUUCAACCAGUUUUCCACAACAGCAUCUGCGGACAUGGUUAAUGAGUUCUGAAAUUCAUUCACAUGGCUAAUCUUUUAGGAAUCUCAUAACCUUGCCUGACCUUUCCAUAAUCACGAGAGAAAAACCUUGGCAAAAUUAGAACCAGUCGUCAGGUCCUGUUUUCCUUUCUUCUACUCAUUUUCUUUCUUUCUUUUUUUUUGGUAUUGGAACAAUCAAAAGACUCCACGUUUUUAAAUUCCUUGGAAGACUAACGAUUGAAUAAUUUUCUCACUCUCUGUUUGCACUUUCACAGUCUGGUUGCAUUGAUUUGUGUCUCAUAAGUAGAUAUUUCCUUUGCUGGUUACAAAUCAAUGCUAUAGAACAAACCUGCCAGCACAUUCCCAUCUCCCCACCACCCUCACCUCCCUGCAGUUUGAAAAACAGAGCGCAGUUUUCUUUUAAAAAAUUAGUUUCAUUGGUUGGUAACAUACUAAAAGAAGAGAAAGCCCAAGAGUUUAAAAAAAAAAAAAAUCCGUGGGAAAAGGAGCGCCUCCCAAGUGGGUCUCUGCUGCUUUCUCAGCGCCUGGAGCAGAGGACCGCUUAGUGGGAGAGCAGCGCUCGUCUGCCCUCCGCUUCCGGUGUGUGCUCUGUUAACCCAACUAAGGUCCUCACCUUCAUACAUCACAAGGCUGCCCAAAGCCACACACUGUGAUGUCACAGUCAGAUAUGAUUUCAUGGCCGGAAAAAACAAAAAGGCAGAAAAGGUUGAAUGUAUUUUCCUUUUAUUCAAAUCUUCUAAGAGGGGGCAAAAGGGAAGAUGAUUUUUUUUUUCCCUAAGAGAAAAAGAGGACAAGCUUUCUCCCGUGAAUGUGAAAACUCCAUUCUGAAGAUUCCCCGGUGCUGUUACCCCAAGUGGAUAAGCACGAAUAAAGAAGCACAAAGAAGUACCCUCAUCAAUCCCAAUGCUCUCGCCACCGCUCAGCUACAGGUAGAGAGCAAGCAGGCACCAUUUGAUUUACCUAGAUUAAAAGAGCAAUUUUCCGUCCUCUUUUUUUCCUUUUAAAAAUAGCCAAUCGAUUUUGGCCUCGCUAUGGCUGACUGUACCAGGGCCAUUUUGAUACAUCGCUGAUUAAAUAGUGUGCUCAUGGCUGAAGGCAUGACAGCAGGAACAGGCAGAAGCUGCCGAAGGAAUGGGGAUGGGAGACCACAGGCCCCAGCUCCAGAAAGCCUGCUGGCUGACACUGCAGCGGAUGCUCCACGAGGGCCCGACCGCCAGCCCUUCGCCAGCGGACUGCCGAUAGCACAUUCUAGACUUGAACUUGGUGGACUAUGAUUCUGGGAGUUUGAAGCCUGCAAUUCAUUUAGCUUUUUAAUUCUGACCUUAAGAAUGAGAGAAAAAAAAUCAAAGUCCUUUGAUUUUUUAAAAAAUACGGAUGGGGGAAAUAUUGCCUCCUAAAUUGCAACGACAGCUGAACUGAAGAUGGGAAUUUGCUUCUCAGGAACAAGCCUAUUUAACUGUUUUUUAUGAAACAGUUACAUUUUCAUCAGUUACAGAGUUAGAGUCUUCUACCAAAAGGGGAUCUAGUCGUUUAGAGACCUUGGUUGCACAAAAAAUUGCACAAAAAAGAAACACAGAAACGAAACAGGUCUUUUAUAGACGGUGACUCUAUGUUGGGAUUCAUCCGCAGCCCUCAGAAAAGUGAGACGGUCUCCACCAGCUCUGGGAAGUAACCAUCUUGAUUACUACGAGAAAGUACAACCUUCACCGAAGUCUGUGUGGCUGGAAAAAUAUCCUAGGGAGGGGCGCUCAGGCCACUCUUCUAGAGCCCCAGCAUCCACAGACGUUUCUUCAGAAAAACGCAGAGUCCACCCGACAGGUGAGGCUGUCGUGCCACAAUGGAUCUGAGGACACGGGAAAUGCAUCUGGGAAUUAGUGAAAUCCAUUUUUAAAAAGUGAACCUACUUUAGUUUUUUUUUUUUUCUUUCAUCUACUGCUUCCUCUCUCCCUUUUGUUCUUUCCCAUUAUUGUUUACUUAAUUUGAAUCCUGGCCUUCACGGGGAUGGAACUGUAUCCAGAGGUACUAUUAAGAACCUGGCCAAGUAUAGAUGCAGAGGGUGAAACCCAAUCGCAGAGCGCUGACAGAGCUCCUCUUAUGGCCUGCAGAACAGAUCUACCGAGUCCUACACCUCCUGGCCAGCAGUGACAAACCCUUUAGGUCCAGAAGGGGGUUAAGGAGUGUAUAAGGUGAGCUGGAACCUGGAAUUUCUGUCAGCUCACUACACACGUUCGCCAAAUGGUCAAGUCCUCACUUUAAACCCCAGCAAGACAAGAUAAGCUCUGUCUGCCCAGCAGCCUUCCAGAGGCAUUAAGGGUAAGAGAGAAGAAUGACCCUGAAGAAUAAUCUGCUGCACGCAAGGGCCAACACCAGUGUAUCUCUGCUUCACAGCUUCUUCUUCAGCCCCCUCUCCAGCCCUGAGGAAUACAGAAGAAGAUGAAGUAUGGGGGAAUUCUUAUUCUAUUUAAGUCAGUUUUUUUCUCUCCCUCAGGAAGGAUGGCUGGGUAAAAAAAAUGGAGAGAAAUGAAAGACUAACUACUUCUAGCUUAGACCACUGCAUCUUCUGCUGACACUGUGGCUUUCCUACCUUUUCCCGGGGAUUUCUCGCAAUGAGGUUCAAAGCACACCUGGCAGCCACUCUGAGACAACAAAGGGCAGAGGCUCUUUGGAGCUGCGGCUGUCGCUUCUCUGGUGUCAAAGAUCAAACCUCGUGGCAGUGAAGUAGGACCUUAUGUAAUCACCAGUGAGAGCUUUGUAAAAGCCAUUUCAGUCUGGCGUGUGAAGAACACACAGCAAGAAGAACGUGGGGAGCAUCUGAAAGAAGAGUACAGCGGUAGAGGCUGCGUGGUCAUUUUGGUGAUCAAGAAGCACCAGCCAGGGGAGAGGUUAUUGUUUGAAUGCCAGUGUGAUUCAGAGAGAGGGCCAGGACACACAAUAUUCACAAGGAGCUGAGAGGAAGAAGUGUCCAGAGCCAUAAAGUCACCAGGGACACACCCAAAGGCAGCUGCUGUGAUGCAGACCUUGAGAGUUAAUUGUUCAUUCAAAGAGGAUUGUGAAACUCAAAUGUAAGAGGAGAAGAUGAUAAUCCAAACAGCACAAUUCUGGGUCUUUUUCUUCUUGUAAAAGGAAGAAAAAAAAAAAAGGAGAGAGAAAAAAGAAAACAAUACCCAGAAAUACUGUACCAUACUGGCAGUUUACUCUCUCUUUCUUGAACCAAAUCAGCAUGUUAAUGACAUAAAAACUUACUUUCCUUAUGGGGACAAUCAGGCUCUAUCACACACAACAUUAAAUACGCGGGUUUUAAAAGGAAAAACAAACCAAAUCACCAGAAACACCUCACUCUGGCAAUGGUGAGGUUGGCCAAAGCAGACUGUGUCCUUAAUGUCCAGCACAACCUGUGAAUCCAGAAAAGCAUCUAUGAAGCUAGACUGGAACUAUCAGGCCUCAUUUCCACCAAAGAGGAGUUCCCUUAAGGAUUCCGGAAGGGGGGAUCUGGAGGAGCUUUCAGUCUCUUUUUUGGAAUGACAGAACCAGGGCAGGCUCCUCUGGGGGUCAGGUCGGCCCCACCAUGCGGAGUCCCUGUGUCUAAAUGAUAAGUAAUCGAAAUGAAAAGACACUAUUUCAAUGGCUGCCCUGAAAGAGUCUUAAAAGCAAAUAAACAAGUCCCCAG